rnacentral:rRNA from 1 species
GACGUAGGGCGCAAGCGUUGUCCGGAAUUAUUGGGCGUAAAGAGCUCGUAGGCGGCUUGUCGCGUCGACUGUGAAAACCCACGGCUCAACCGUGUGGCCUGCAGUCGAUACUACUCAGCUAGAGUAUGGGAGAGGGUAGUGGAAUUCCCGGUGUAGCGGUGAAAUGCGUAGAUAUCGGGAGGAACAUCAGUGGCGAAGGCGGCUACCUGGCCCAAUACUGACACUCAGGUGCGACAGCGUGGGGAGCAAACAGG